AACGAACGCUGGCGGCAGGCUUAACACAUGCAAGUCGAACGCUCGUAGCAAUACGGGAGUGGCGGACGGGUGAGUAACGCGUGGGAACGUGCCCUGAGGUACGGAAUAACUGCGGGAAACUGCAGCUAAUACCGUACGAGCCCCGUGAGGGGGAAAGAUUUAUCGCCUUAGGAGCGGCCCGCGUCGGAUUAGCUAGUUGGUGGGGUAACGGCUUACCAAGGCUUCGAUCCGUAGCUGGUCUGAGAGGACGAUCAGCCACACUGGGACUGAGACACGGCCCAGACUCCUACGGGAGGCAGCAGUGGGGAAUCUUGCGCAAUGGGGGCAACCCUGACGCAGCCAUGCCGCGUGAAUGAUGAAGGCCUUAGGGUUGUAAAGUUCUUUUGCCCGUGACGAUGAUGACGGUAACGGGAGAAUAAGCUCCGGCUAACUUCGUG
rnacentral:rRNA from 1 species